GCUCAGAUUGAACGCUGGCGGCAGGCCUAACACAUGCAAGUCGAGCGGCAGCGGGAAAGUAGCUUGCUACUUUUGCCGGCGAGCGGCGGACGGGUGAGUAAUGCCUGGGGAUCUGCCCAGUCGAGGGGGAUAACAGUUGGAAACGACUGCUAAUACCGCAUACGCCCUACGGGGGAAAGGAGGGGACCUUCGGGCCUUUCGCGAUUGGAUGAACCCAGGUGGGAUUAGCUAGUUGGUGGGGUAAUGGCUCACCAAGGCGACGAUCCCUAGCUGGUCUGAGAGGAUGAUCAGCCACACUGGAACUGAGACACGGUCCAGACUCCUACGGGAGGCAGCAGUGGGGAAUAUUGCACAAUGGGGGAAACCCUGAUGCAGCCAUGCCGCGUGUGUGAAGAAGGCCUUCGGGUUGUAAAGCACUUUCAGCGAGGAGGAAAGGUUGGUCGCUAAUAACGGCCAACUGUGACGUUACUCGCAGAAGAAGCACCGGCUAA
rnacentral:rRNA from 1 species